rnacentral:lncRNA from 10 species
CAAGAGUUAGAUAAAAUUGCUGCCUCAUUCUACUGAGAAAAAACCUACAGCGUGGCAUGGAUAUCCACUGGCUGGCACACCAGAAGCCAUGUUAGACUAAGAGGUGACUCAGGAUGGCCAUGCACUGGAGGUAGCAAAGCAGAGAGAAAGGAGUCUGCCUGAUGACAGCCUACAGCCUCCAUUACCAGGCCUGGGCCAAUCACCUCUGGACUUUUUC